ACCAGGCGGCUGAGGGGGGGAGGGCGCUGCCAAGAUGGCGUCCGCCUCCUCCCAGCCGUCGUUGGCGGUCGGUUUUCCAUCCUUUGAUCCCGGAGUCCCUCCCUGUACCGCGUCCUCAGCGUCUGGAAUCAAGGGCCCCAUGGCAUCCGAGGUGCUUUAUGCCUCUGGCAUGCCCAUCAAGAAAACAGGCCAUCGAGGUGUCGAUUCCUCAGGAGAGACAACAUACAAAAAGACAACCUCAUCAGCCUUGAAAGGUGCCAUCCAGUUAGGCAUUACUCACACUGUGGGGAGCCUGAGUACCAAACCGGAGCGUGAUGUCCUCAUGCAAGAUUUCUACGUGGUGGAGAGUAUCUUCUUCCCCAGUGAAGGGAGCAAGCUGACCCCUGCUCAUCACUACAACGACUUUCGUUUCAAGACCUAUGCACCUGUUGCCUUCCGCUACUUUCGGGAGCUAUUUGGUAUUCCGCCGGAUGAUUACUUGUGCUCCCUCUGCAGUGAGCCGCUGAUUGAACUCUGUAGCUCUGGAGCUAGUGGUUCCCUGUUCUAUGUGUCCAGCGACGAUGACUUCAUUAUUAAGACAGUCCAACAUAAAGAGGCGGAGUUUCUGCAGAAGCUGCUUCCAGGAUACUACUUGAACCUCAACCAGAACCCUCGGACUUUGCUGCCUAAAUUCUAUGGACUGUACUGUGUGCAGGCAGGUGGCAAGAACAUUCGGAUUGUGGUGAUGAACAAUCUUUUACCAAGAUCGGUCAAAAUGCAUACCAAAUAUGACCUCAAAGGCUCAACCUACAAACGCCGGGCUUCCCAGAAAGAGCGAGAGAAGCCUUUUCCCACAUUUAAAGACCUAGACUUCUUACAAGACAUCCCUGAUGGUCUCUUUUUGGAUGCUGACAUGUACAAUGCUCUCUGUAAGACCCUGCAGCGUGACUGUUUGGUGCUGCAGAGCUUCAAGAUAAUGGACUAUAGCCUCUUGCUGUCAAUCCACAAUAUAGAUGAUGCACACCGAGAGCCCUUAAGCAGCGACAUCCUUCAAGUGUCAGUUGACACUCAAAGACUGACCCCCCAAAAGGUUCUGUACUCCACAGCCAUGGAAUCCAUCCAGGGAGAGGCUCGACUGGGCGACACCAUGGAGACCGAUGACCAUACGGGUGGCAUCCCUGCUCAGAGUAGUAAAGGGGAAAGGCUUCUGCUUUAUAUUGGCAUCAUUGACAUUCUACAGUCUUACACAUUUCUUAAGAAGUUGGAGCACUCUUGGAAAGCCCUGGUACAUGACGGGGACACUGUCUCAGUGCACCACCCAGGCUUCUAUGCUGAACGGUUCCAGCACUUCAUGUGCAACGCAGUAUUUAAGAAGAUCCCCUUGAAGCCUUCUCCUUCCAAAAAGUUUGGGACUGGCUCAUCUUUCUCUUGGCAUACGGGCUCCAGUGGCAACUCCUGCAUUACUUACCAGCCAUUGGUCUCUGGGGAACACAAGGCACAAGUGACAACAAAGGCAGAAGUGGAGCCAGGUGUUCACCUUGGUCGUCCUGAUGUUUUACCUCAGAAUCCUCCUUUGGAGGAAAUCAGUGAGGGCUCACCUAUUACUGAACCCAGUUUCUCACCUGUAGUUGGAGAGACUUUGCAUAUGCUAACUACAAGUACAACCUUGGAAAACUUGAACGUGCAGAGUCAGAGUUCACCCAUUAA